rnacentral:rRNA from 1 species
GACGUAGGGGGCAAGCGUUGUCCGGAUUUAUUGGGCGUAAAGAGCGUGUAGGCGGCUUUACAGGUCCGUUGUGAAAACUCGAGGCUCAACCUCGAGACGCCGGUGGAAACCGUAAGGCUAGAGUCCGGAAGAGGAGAGUGGAAUUCCUGGUGUAGCGGUGAAAUGCGCAGAUAUCAGGAAGAACACCCGUGGCGAAGGCGGCUCUCUGGGACGGUACUGACGCUGAGACGCGAAAGCGUGGGGAGCGAACAGG